AACGAACGCUGGCGGCAUGCCUAACACAUGCAAGUCGAACGAGACCUUCGGGUCUAGCGGCGCACGGGUGCGUAACGCGUGGGAACCUGCCCUUAGGUUCGGAAUAACUCCCCGAAAGGGGUGCUAAUACCGGAUAAUGUCUUCGGACCAAAGAUUUAUCGCCUUUGGAUGGGCCCGCGUUGGAUUAGCUAGUUGGUAGGGUAAAAGCCUACCAAGGCGACGAUCCAUAGCUGGUCUGAGAGGAUGAUCAGCCACACUGGGACUGAGACACGGCCCAGACUCCUACGGGAGGCAGCAGUGGGGAAUAUUGGACAAUGGGCGAAAGCCUGAUCCAGCAAUGCCGCGUGAGUGAUGAAGGCCUUAGGGUUGUAAAGCUCUUUUACCCGGGAUGAUAAUGACAGUACCGGGAGAAUAAGCUCCGGCUAACCCCGUG
rnacentral:rRNA from 1 species